rnacentral:rRNA from 1 species
AUUGAACGCUGGCGGCAGGCCUAACACAUGCAAGUCGAGCGGAUGAAGGGAGCUUGCUCCCGGAUUCAGCGGCGGACGGGUGAGUAAUGCCUAGGAAUCUGCCUGGUGGUGGGGGAUAACGUCCGGAAACGGGCGCUAAUACCGCAUACGUCCUGAGGGAGAAAGUGGGGGAUCUUCGGACCUCACGCUAUCAGAUGAGCCUAGGUCGGAUUAGCUAGUUGGUGGGGUAAAGGCCUACCAAGGCGACGAUCCGUAACUGGUCUGAGAGGAUGAUCAGUCACACUGGAACUGAGACACGGUCCAGACUCCUACGGGAGGCAGCAGUGGGGAAUAUUGGACAAUGGGCGAAAGCCUGAUCCAGCCAUGCCGCGUGUGUGAAGAAGGUCUUCGGAUUGUAAAGCACUUUAAGUUGGGAGGAAGGGCAGUAAGUUAAUACCUUGCUGUUUUGACGUUACCAACAGAAUAAGCACCGGCUAACUUCGUG